rnacentral:lncRNA from 1 species
ACCCAAGUCUGUGAGAAAAUGACUGCCUUGCUUGGUUUUUAAUUUUCCAAGUGCCCCUUUAUCCUUGGCAAAAGAUACUGCAUUCUGUCUCAGAAAGAAAAGAGAAGCCAACAGAUGGGACAUCUCCAUCUUCCUGCUCUUCCACCACGCAUGCAUUCUUUGCAUAAAUGCCCACCCUUCUCUUCUCCAAGGGAAAUACAAGAGGUAUAUUUUCCUACUUCAGGUUAGCUUCCUCUACUUCCUAAAGGACCAUUUUUUAUUUUUUUCCCAAAAUCAUGCAAUUGUCUCAACACCACUUGUUAAAUGUGUCCUACUGACUUAAAAUGUCAACUCUUUCAUAUACUAAAUUCCAUAUAUUUUCAGGCUUUAGACUCUUAUUUGGCUUUAUUGUCUAAGUUAAACAAAGCUUGAUGCUAGUUAAAGUGUUGAAGACACAUUUUGGUCAGUCAUGUACUAUUGCAGUGGGGAAAAGAGUCUAGAGUGAACUCAACUUUGUGCAGAGGGGACUGGGCUUUUUAAAGGGAGAACGCAGGAAUAUGGAGGAGUUUAAGCAGGACUCAGUAGAGUCAGGGAAGUGAAUACAUACAAAAAGCAGGAAGAGGGCUUUGUCCAUGUGCAACCGGUUUGGGUUUGCUAACUAGCACUUAUAGACAUUAGGUUCCCACACUCCCACCAAGGCUGGAAGUGUUGGCUAGAACAAACAGUAAAUUCUUUCAGCAACCUUGAGUUUUUUCAGGGGAGCACUUUAUGGAAGGUUUAGAUCAUCUUAAGGGUGAGGCCGUGAAUUGUUAGAAACUUUGCUGUGUUUUAUUCAAGUCGUCAUAGGCCACUGUGGAAGCCUGGUUGAGAAAGGGCUCAAAGGAGCCUGGCUAGAAGUUUGGUCAAGAGGAGAGUCUUGGUCGCAGUGGAUCCAUUAUCUAUUUUUGGGUCAGUGCCAUACUGUUUUAAGUAUUCCAGCUUUAUAUUGCAUUUCAUACUUAGUAGAUAUUAUUAUAA